UUUGUGCUUUAACAAAAGCUGAUUUAUUCAGAAGGAGUCUUAAUGUAGUGUUUCCCUGGAGGCGUUAGAAACAGGAACAAGAGCAACAAGUUCAGCAGAUGUUACAGAUAUUUAAGGUUGUCUCAGUUUUUGUCCACUCAGAAUGAUUUGCCUCCUUUAUUUCCAGUUUGAGGAGUGGAAAACAAACAGAAUUAAGGAGUAUCUGGUUGAUUUCAGGCAAUUUUGAGUUUGUAUGCUUUAAUAACGAGUUGUACCUCGGUCUAACCCUUUACUGCUAUAAAGUCGUUUACACCCAUCUACUGCAUGCUUGAUGUCCUGGCCAGGCUGCAUGUGAAAGCAGAAAUAUUUGCAACACUUACUUCAGACAUCUGAAAGAGCUUAUCCUGCUUCCAAACAUGGCACACAAAUAAUAAAAAAAAAUUAUAGCAUGAGAUUAUGUCUGAGUACAGCAGGAAGUCCUCCAGGGUAUUUACUGCGAGUCAUGUUUGUGUGUGCUUCUGCAUCAUAUUCAAGCCGCAUGCCACUUCUCUCUUGGAAUACGUCUGUCUGUGCAGGUCCAAAUUUAUUUUAGAUGUAGUUUAAUAAACCUGGACAGUUUUGUGCUGUUCAGUGUUCAGAUGUCAUAUCCUGCAUCACAUUAUGCCCUCCAAGCUAAUGCAUCUUUGGAGUUCUUCCAACAUGUGAGACCAGCAGUUAUUGAUUUUAUUUGCCUAAAGGCUAUCAAACUAAUGUAAGCUACAACUCAGAAGUCAUGUGGCACUUGGAUUGCUGAGCAUCUUCCAGCUCUAAAUUAGAAUAGGAAUAUGCUAAUAUGAGGAGUAUGUUAACCUCACACUACAGAAUUGGCAAUUAGGGCUGCAGAGUAUUAGAAAAACUUGAAACUCUAGUGUAACUACUGGAACUGGAAACGAUAUGUUUUGCAAGUUAGCCAUUUUUGUUUUCCAACAUCACAAUGCCCCACAACUCUGUGAUCAACAGCAUCAAAAAGAUUUAGGUCAGGGACAGAUAUAUUACCGGCAUGCAGAUUGUGAAUGCUGCAAAUGUUUAGUUAAAACUGAGGGUUAUUUCUAAACAUUCACUUCAGCAAAGGUUUGAGCUGUCACAUGCUCACAAAGCAGGAGAAGGAUAUAAAAAGUUAUCACAGCCUUUCUGAGUGUCCUGAGCUAAAAUGAGAAGUAUCGACAAGUUUAAAAAGAGCCAAACAGCACAGACUGAUCCUGGCAGAGGUAGGAAUGGAAUGAUUUCAAAGAAGCUGAAAAGAAACAGAACUCUGGUUGUAGACAUAGAAAAAGUCUGCUCAGAUUGAAGUGUGCUAAUAACAACGACGACUAAAGACUAAGCAUGCAUUUUCUUUGGUCAGAUGAGACAAAACUAAGGGUUAUAUUUUUUUACCUUAACUUUUAUCUCUGAAAUAUUUAAUGAGAUGCAACCGUGAAAAGUGCAGCAAAGUUAUUUUCCUACAACUAUCACCAUGUGUUAAACACUGGUCUGCUAACCUGGAUAUUUAGGGUGGGCUAAAAACCAUUUUCUUGGAAUCCAGACUCCAGCGAACCUUCCCUUUUUCAUUUUCUCCGACAAUUACAACUUAUAACAAAAAAAUGCACCUAAACUCAAUCCUUCAUCCAAACAUUGAGUCAAAAUGGAUAAAAACCUGAACACCAACAAAGUCAAAUUCCAGUGGACUGAUUUAAAAUGUCUGUCAGGGUGCUGGUAUUUAGAAGCUUUUGUAUUUAUUUAUAGAGGUGGGACUUAUAAAAAGUCGCAUGGCUAUGAGACGUUCUUACGCCUUCUGACCUGAUCGAUAUGAUAAAAUACUACCUUUGGACAGUAUGUGGAAAAACUCUCUAAAGAUGUCACAAUAUCGUCAAG